rnacentral:rRNA from 1 species
CCUACGGGAGGCAGCAGUGGGGAAUAUUGGACAAUGGGGGGAACCCUGAUCCAGCGACGCCGCGUGAGUGAAGAAGUAUUUCGGUAUGUAAAGCUCUAUCAGCAGGGAAGAAAGAAAUGACGGUACAUGACUAAGAAGCUCCGGCGAACUACGUGCCAGCAGCCGCGGGAAUACGUAGGGGGCAAGCGUUAACCGGAUUUACUGGGUGGAAAGGGAGCGUAGACGGUUACGCAAGUCUGGAGUGAAAGGCGGGGGCCCAACCCCCGGACUGCUUUGGAAACUGUAUAACUGGAGUGCAGUAGAGGUAAGUGGAAUUCCUAGUGUAGCGGUGAAAUGCGUAGAUAUUAGGAGGAACACCAGUGGCGAAGGCGGCUUACUGGACUGUAACUGACGUUGAGGCUCGAAAGCGUGGGGAGCAAACAGGAUUAGAUACCCUUGUAGUC